rnacentral:rRNA from 1 species
AUUGAACGCUGGCGGCAUGCCUUACACAUGCAAGUCGAACGGCAGCACGGGAGCAAUCCUGGUGGCGAGUGGCGAACGGGUGAGUAAUAUAUCGGAACGUGCCCGGUCGUGGGGAUAACGUAGCGAAAGCUACGCUAAUACCGCAUACGAUCUACGGAUGAAAGCGGGGGAUCGCAAGACCUCGCGCGAUUGGAGCGGCCGAUAUCAGAUUAGGUAGUUGGUGGGGUAAAGGCCUACCAAGGCGACGAUCUUUAGCUGGUCUGAGAGGAUGAUCAGCCACACUGGGACUGAGACACGGCCCAGGACUCCUACGGGAGGCAGCAGUGGGGAAUAUUGGACAAUGGGGGAAACCCUGAUGCAGCAACGCGCGUGAAGGAUGAAGGUUUUCGGAUUGUAAACUUCUUUAGUCAGGGACGAAUAAAUGACGGUACCUGAAGAAUAAGCCACGGCUAACUACGUGCCAGCAGCCGCGGUAAUGUCAGUGACUC